rnacentral:lncRNA from 1 species
UUAUAAUUCAUGACAACAUGGAGCUUAAACUCAUUACCAAGAGUUGACAGAUUCCGUCUUGAUCAAUCACUAAUUCUACAAGUAUUUAAUCGUACCCAGUAUCCUUUCAACUAUCGCCCUAGGGCCAUAGGUGUCUAGUAUCAAAGCACAAUAAAUAACUUGUCAAUUACCAUGACGAUCUCAAGUCAAAGGAAAUAGUUACAUCACAUUCUUCUAGAAAAUAUCCUAUUGACAGUUUAUGAUAAUUCUAACCACUAGGAAUUAUCCAAUGAGUCGGUUCAAUGAUCAUAUCUCCAUAUGCAUCAUCUAUCUAUGUGAUUUAGUUAAUGAGAUCAACUAAUCUUUAUCCGAUAAAGACGAU